rnacentral:rRNA from 1 species
AGUGAACGCUGGCGGUAGGCCUAACACAUGCAAGUCGAACGGCAGCACAGUAUGAGCUUGCUCUUACGGGUGGCGAGUGGCGGACGGGGGAGGAAUACAGCGGAAUCUACUUUUUCGUGGGGGAUAACGUAGGGAAACUUAAGCUAAUACCGCAUACGACCUACGGGUGAAAGCAGGGGCUCUUCGGACCUUGCGCGAUUGAAUGAGCCGAUGUCGGAUUAUUUCGUUGGCGGGGUAAAGGCCCACCAAGGCGACGAUCCGUAGCUGGUCUGAGAGGGUCAAUAUCCACACUGUAACUGAGACACAUCCCAGACUCUUACGCGAGGCAGCAGUGGGGAAUAUUGGACGAGGGACGCAAGCCUGAUCCAGCCAUACCGCGUGAGUGAUGAUGGCCUUCCGGUUGUUAAACCCUUUUGGUGGGAAAGAAAAGCAGCAGUUUAAUACCCCGCUGUUCUGACGGUACCCAAAGAAUAAGCACCGGCUAACUUCGUG